UCAUAAAUGUGAUGUGUAAUUGUAGUGACCAAAAUAAAACAAAAAUAUGAAACUUUGAGUAGUGAAACUUCAAAUAUAGAAUUUCACUUCUUAUACCUUUAAUGAAUUUUUUUUAUAUAACAAAAAACUUUAUAUUUGAAGUUAUAUGAAUGUCUAUUAGAGAUGCUCUUAGAUCAGAUUUCCUAAAAAUAUAACCAAUCCAUUUAUUGGAUAUUGAUCUUAUAUUGGAACCCCAUGGUAAACGUAAAUUCAACAUUUUUGGGAACGAAACACACGUUAUUUCUUUUGUUCAAAAAGCUCCAUGAAUGUGAAUGCUUAUGUCAGUGUGUUUUCACUAUCUUCUUGCUAAUACCAAAUGUAAUAAAUAUGUAAUGUAACCAUUCAAAUCUUUCAUUCUUAUCAAAUAUUUGCUCGACAGCUGCAACUCAAACUGAAAGAAAGUACAUAUUUUCUUGAUCUUAGGUACAAAAAUAUAUCUUAUGGUCUAUUUAUUCCCAUGUGGUAAAGAAAAAAGCAUAUAUUAAAAUAGAUGAAAGUGGUGGGGCAAAACAAAGUACAGAUAAUAAAUUGAGCUGAACGGAAUGAACCUACCGCCAACGAACGAAUAAGUUUGAUAAUCAGUGCAAAAUGAAGGGACCCGAAUUGAUUUCCCCUAUCGUCUCGUCAAAAUUAUUUACCACUUCAUCAUUGCCCUUGAUUCAAGUAUAUUUCAUUUUAGUUGUGUCUCCCCCACCUUAUUUAUUAGAUCUAAUAUCAUGUUUUUCCCUUUGAUUGAUAUUCACGUAUAUGGUAUACACUCAUUGACUUACAUAACGAGUAUUACAGAUGUGUUUUCUAGGCCUAGUUACAUGAAGAUCAAAUCGAUUUUUUUUAGUUGGAAAAGGAUAUUAUGGUCCAAUUAAUUUAUUUUACUGGGAAGCCAGAGCAGCAGAGACAUACCCUUCGUAAGCAGAGCCCAAGCCGAAUAGAAACCCUACAACAUAUUUUGCGAUAUGCCAGAGAAGAACCGAAAGGACCGAGGAACAUCAAGAAAGGAGACAUGAAAUGGAAGAAAGAUGCUUCUUGCACUCGACGCCGGAACCUAGCUCAAAUAUGCUUUUGAUUGGAGAUGAGAGAAAAGAGAUGAUAAGAGGAGAGAGAGGUUUUUAUAACCUAUCCAUCUAUGGUCUAAUUUGUUUUUCUUUUACUGAAUCUAGGUCUAAUUUAUUGUUGUCAACAAUAGACAUAAUACCAAAUUUGAAUCUAUGUAGUUACAAUGACGACAACUGAAACCACACACUCGACUAGCAUUAUGAUUAGUAGACAAGUUAAGUAAACUGAAUUAACAUUUUUUGAAAUUAUCAUAAAGAGGGUAUAUUAUUAUCAAGUUCUUUGUAUUUUUUUAGUUGAAAACUUUUAUAUAAAAGGUGGAAAUAUAUAACUAAUUAAAGUGGUCCAUAUAUUCAUUUGCCACUUUUAUUAUAAAUUAUUUACCAAUCAAACUUAAAUGCUAUGGUAUAUUAUGACUUAACAAUAGUAAUCUAUAUACAAAUUUAUGCAUUAUUUCAUGAUUAUUUUUUCAACUUUUACCAAUUGUGAAUUUAGUUAUUUAAGAAUCACGAAUUGGAACAUGAUUUUUCAGUUUAUAUAUAAAUAUAAUACAAUGAAAAAGUGAAUACUUAUUUUAUAGAAAAUAAAUCAAUAGUCAUGCAUUGGUUUAUGAUGUAAUAUUCUCUAAUAUAUAUAUAUGUAUGUACACCCAUAUACAACACUGAUUGACUGGAACACAUUUAUGAAAUUUAGAGUUUUGGACUCGACCGAUAUGUACGAAGGUAAAAAAGUACCACAGUAUCUGUCGACUCUGACCGUACACAAAUCGUCAGGCUCCCAUAACUUUAUGCCCCAUAGAUAUGCAUCUCUGAGUUACAUAAUCUAUCUCCAUUUCGAGAUUCGUAAGAUGAAUUUCUUUUAAUGUCUACGUACGUACCCUCGUACGAAACUUCUUUCAUCAUUCAUAUUAUUUCUUCGUCGGUUUCCUCUAUUCGAUUACCAAGAACAUGAUUAAUAGAAGAUUCUUAGGAUUAGGAUGUGUUCUCAGCGGAAUAUAAUAAAUCGUCUCUUAAUUUUUAACUAAAAAAACUAAAAACCGGCUCAUAAAUAAGAUAUUUAAAAACCGGCUCUUAGCCUUUUUAGUUACAAGUUAAAAGACGGUGUCUUAUAUUCCGAUAAGAACUUCACCCCUCUAACGUAACAAUUAGAUCAGAUUUUGAUAAACACAUGAGAUUUUACUUAUGUAAAUAUGUAAUACAAAAAAGCUAUUGGAAAAAAUGUACAGAAACAUCUUCUAUUGAUAAAAAAAAAACAUCUUCAAGUGAUAAUUGAGUUGGAGUGGGCCUGAUCAGCAUUUAGGUCGUAGAUAUUAUUUCGUUUAUACGUUGGCUUUGAUUUUGUUCUUUAAUUUCAGAAAUCAAAAAGUCAUAAACAUUAAUUAAUUGUCUGUAAAAUCAGACAUUUCACUUCAGAUUUCUUCUCAUAUGACCUACCAAAGUUAAUGACUACACGGCAGUGUUUUUAAAACCAGACCAAUCCGAUGGUUGAACCAGAUUUGACCAUGAACCAGUCAUGUAAUCACGUUGGAUCUAAUAAUUGGUUCGACCAUGACCGGUCAAAUAGUCAGAUUAGAUCUCGGAGUUAUUAAACUGAUGAAAAUCAUUAAAACUAUCUAAAAUCUAUAAAUCAUCCAUAUAAACAUAAAAGCCAUGUUUGUGUUUAAAAUAUAUUUCUAUUGUAAUUAUGUUUCAUAUUUACUAACAUUAAUUUUAAAUUUAUACACUAAAAAUAUAUUAAACUGGAUUAUUGAACUAGGUUUCACCGGGUCGAACCAUAUUGAAUCGCGACUCAAAAAUUAUCCGGUUCAGUUUCCAGUCAGGAUUUAAAAACACGCUACACAUUAUCAAUCAUUAAGUGAUUAGCAAAGGUAGUCUUGCAAGAAGUUUUUCGUACUAAAUUUUUUAUUUUAUUUUAAAGAGAAUGAAAAAGAAAGAUGAUAAACCGACGAUAGUCAUUCUUUUUGAAAAAAAAACUCUAAAAAAAAAAUAGUUAAAAAAAUUUUAUCAUACAAGUCACUACAUAAUUUGUUAAGCUUUUGUAAGUUUUAAAUUUAAUUAUUUACUUUAAUAAAAUCAUUACUAAAUGGAUUUCACAUGAACUUGGACUAUUAUCCGAUUUUUCUUUUCUGUCGACCGCAAAAUUGUGGUCAAUGCUUUUGUUCAAAUAAUGCUGAUAGCCUUAAGAAACGGAGGAAAAAAGAAGGGAGUUCGCCCUAGAGACAAACUCUCUCGAGCCCGCAUCCCAAGGCGCCGUUUCGAUGGAUCUUCAUUGCUCCAACCACGCCGCUCUUUCCUCCUCUCUCUGAAACAGCCCUGCUCCUCUCCAUGGCCAUGAUGGUGACUAUUCCUCCGUCGAGUCUCCGCCCCCCUCCAGAUCCACCUCCGCCAUCGUUCCUUGGCUUGAUGCAGCACUGCUCCUCCUCCUUGAAGAUGAUGGUGACAGCCCUUCCUCCUCUUUCACAGCCCAGGCCUCCUUCAGAUCCGGCGCGGAACAAGCAUCUUCCGAUUGAAACUCCUCCCGUCAAGCCACCAGAACCUCCAGACCCACCAGACGUCUCCGUCAGCCUCGUUCUUUUCACUUCCUCCAGCUCUUCUCCACAAGCUACUCAAGUCCUAGAUCUGAUGUUUAAUUAUUCAAGGGUUUCAAGUAAGCUCAGUGAUGAUGGUGUUGUUCUUGUGUUCACUGGUGACACUAUCUUUGUCAACUGGCGUUCUUCUCCUGUGGUAUACAGGUUGUAUCUUUGUCAGCUCGGGAAUGGGUCUUCUCCCGGCUCUUAUUCCAGCUUUCAUUUUAUCCAUCCGCUUAUAGACGUCCAGGUCUACCUUAGCUCCUUACUCUCUGUUUACUCCUAUUCUUUUGAAAAGGAUGCAAUGCUAGAUAUGUGGGUGACUCUGGAGUUGUGGUUUUUGGCUUUAUUUGGUAGUGUACUGAUGGACUCAGUGUCCUUUGGUUAUAUCUAUGUGCCUCUUAGUGGUUUUUAUGUUGCGUUGAUGCAACUCUCUACUGCAGUAUGCAGUCCUAUUAUUGUAUUCAACCUGGUUUGUGGUGCAGUGUCUGUGUGUUUCUCUUCUUGGUGGCAGUUGAAAGAGACAAUCAUUGUGAUUUGUUGCUUGGUGAAUAUGGUUAUGGCGGGUAUUGAUUAUCCGCUUGGCUCCUGUUUGGAGCAGUCUCUUUUCCCAAUAUUUCCUCAUGUAUGGAGUGAAUUGGAUGAACAUGUGUGGUUGGUAUUGCAAGGAUUCUCCUCCCGGCUAACGCUCUUCCCUGCCUUUAGUGCAGUGGUUGUGACUCUCAGAGUUACCCGAGAUGCAAUCGUUCAAGAAACUCAUGAAACCGUUGUGAUGCGAUUUCUAAUGUUUACUUGUUGUGAUUUGUAUUUUCAUUCUAUCUUAGUUUUAUCUGUUUCGUAUUCCAUUGGGCUCUUUGUAGCUUUGUUGUACUCUCCUUUAAUGGAGCUUAAACUCUUCUGAAUUUAAUACAAUUUGGUUUGAUCAAAAAAAAAAUGCUGAUAGCCUUUAGUUUGGGCUUUGAUGGGCCUUAAGCUGGUGAUAUCCAAAACUGCCGUUUCAUUUAAGUUGAAAAACAGCCUGAUAAUUACGCUGAGGUGUCGCUCGUUUAUAGGCUGAUACUGCGUGGCGAGAAGAACCCGUCUUAUAAAAAAACCGAACAGAGUCCCGUCAACUCCAAAACUAAAGGUCCGAACAUCUCUUCGUCUCGUUAUCGUUAUCGUCGUGAUCAGAGAAUCUCUAAAGCCAAAUCUGUAAAGAAGAGAGGGAAGGAUGGUGGGAAGUGGAGCUCCACAGAGAGGAAGUGCAGCUGCAGCUGCUAGCAUGCGUAGGAGGAAGCCAAGCGGCAGCUCAAGUGGAGGAGGAGCCUCUGGUGGUGCAGCAGGAUCCAUGCUUCAGUUCUACACGGAUGACGCACCCGGUCUCAAGAUCUCCCCUAAUGUCGUCCUCGUCAUGAGCAUCGGCUUCAUUGCUUUUGUCGCUGUCCUUCAUGUCAUGGGCAAGCUUUACUUUGUCAAGUGAUCACAGAGAGAGGCUUGAAACACCCUAAAGCUACUGCUAGUGAUCAGUAUUAGACACUUGUUUUGUUUGACUCAUGUUUUAAUUUUGUGGAGUAUUAAGUUUCUUGACAUUCAAAGUUUCAGUAUUC